GAAUCGCGAAAGGUAGUGUGAAUUGCAGAACCGUGAAUCAUCGAGUCUUUGAACGCAUCUUGCGCUCGGGGGCCAUUCCCCCGAGCAUGCCUGUCUGAGUGUUGGGAAUCUCUAUCUUGGGAAAAAAAAAAAGGAAAAAGGAUGUGGGAUUGCUGGGCUGACUGACCAGGCGAGCUCUCCUGAAAAGAAGAAUAAGCUUUCUCGUGCGCGCCGCUGCCACAGGCCAGAAAGGAGAGUACGAUGUUUACCGCCGCUACUCUUGCUUCUGUGUGUGUGUGUGUGCUUGAGACGCGAGGGAAAAAAAGCACUGUCUAUUCACUUCGACCUCAGAUCAGGUAGGACUACCCGCUGAACUUAA
rnacentral:misc_RNA from 1 species